CGGAUCACCUGAGCCCUCAUUUUCUAUAUGGAUGAUGUCAUUCUCCUGCCAAAAACUCUUCAAUGACCUCCUACAGCAUUUGGCAUAAUAUGUUACUUGCCAGGGAGCCUGAAGUUUUCAUUAUCUGAAUUUCACCUUGGAAUUAGAGGGAAGAAAUUGGAUAGUGUUGUCUUCUGAAGGCACUAUUCAGAUGAAUCCACAAGAACUCAGAAGAAGAGAGGGAAUGCACUGAAGAAACUCAUUUACCCUUGUCCAUUACCAAAUAUUUAUUUUUUUUAAGGAGCUAUCAACACAAAAGACACAGACACCCUGGCUGUGAAUGAAUGAGGUAAUGUGCAGUUAACUUUUAGUAAAUUUUUUUUUUAAAAAAAGAAGAAAUGAACAGAAACACAGUGUUUGGUUUGUGGGAUAAGAACUCAGAGAACCUCCUAUUAGGAUUACUGAAGUGAAGAGUAUAAGGGAAGGAUUGGAACUACUGGGAGGCCAGGUAAAAUUUGGUAGCCAUGAUAGGCUAAAAAGCUGACUACAUCUGCUCUUCUACAAUUUUACCUAAGGCUGGGGCUUCAAUAUUUAUUCAAUUUUGUCAUUUUUUCAUUAGUUCAGUAUUUCAUUCACUACUGAUUUGAUGAGCACCUACUUUUUAACCAAACACUAUCCCGAACACUGGAUGACGAAGGUGAAAAGGACAGAGACCCUGCCCUGGGAGGAGUCAGAGUUGAUGCAGGUCCAAACGCUAGUGUUUACAAGACUCACGUAGUGGUUUUGCUUCAAUAGGAGAUUCCUGGAUCCCAUCCACAGAGCCUGGGAUUCAGGAAGCAUGGAGGUACUGAGGUGAGUGUAGCAAUGAUCUUCUAAGUGUGCACUGAUUUGUUUCUUGGCCUGGUGUUUUAUGUGCUCUAAAUUCAGACUGAUCUCCUUCAGUUCAUUAGUAGGAAUAAAGUGUGUCUUGACAGAAGAAAGGAAUGAAUCAGUAAGGAAAGUAUAAAGAUAGAGAAAAAAUUAUCAGGAAGUGAGAACGAGGCGGGAGGAAAACGAAAAUGAAUGUGAAAUGACUUAAUGGGACCCCCAAAAAGACAAGACUGGGCAGUAUUGGAGUGACACACAGAUAUGAAGCUCUUUCCACACCUGAAGGAUCCUGACGUUUGAAGAAGUGGAAUUCCACACUUCACAGGAUGGGCAGCAGUUACAGUCCCUAACUGUGAGGCAAGCCAGCUUGUUACUGACCCCAGGAGGAGGUACCUGCUUGGUCCACAUGUUUGUGCAGCAGCCACCUUUGUGUUCUGUGAGAAAUGUGCCAGCUUCCUGCAGGGUGAGCCUGAGGAGCCUUAGAAAGCUGCCACUGGUGCAUGCCUGUAGUCCCAGCUACUUGGGAGGCUGAGGCAGGAGAAUUGC
rnacentral:lncRNA from 1 species